GAUUAGCUUGUUGGUGAGGUAAUGGCUCACCAAGGCGACGAUCAGUAGCUGGUCUGAGAGGAUGAUCAGCCACAUUGGGACUGAGACACGGCCCAAACUCCUACGGGAGGCAGCAGUGGGGAAUAUUGGACAAUGGGCGAAAGCCUGAUCCAGCCAUGCCGCGUGAGUGAUGAAGGCCUUAGGGUUGUAAAGCUCUUUUACCUGGGAAGAUAAUGACGGUACCAGGAGAAUAAGCCCCGGCUAACUUCGUGCCAGCAGCCGCGGUAAUACGAAGGGGGCUAGCGUUGUUCGGAUUUACUGGGCGUAAAGCGCACGUAGGCGGAUCUUUAAGUCAGGGGUGAAAUCCCGAGGCUCAACCUCGGAACUGCCUUUGAUACUGG
rnacentral:rRNA from 1 species